rnacentral:rRNA from 1 species
UACAGAGGUCCCAAGCGUUGUUCGGAUUCAUUGGGCGUAAAGGGUGCGUAGGCGGCGCGGUAAGUCGGGUGUGAAAUCUCGGAGCUUAACUCCGAAACUGCAUUCGAUACUGCCGUGCUUGAGGACUGGAGAGGAGACUGGAAUUUACGGUGUAGCGGUGAGAUGCGUAGAUAUCGUAAGGAAGACCAGUGGCGAAGGCGGGUCUCUGGACAGUUCCUGACGCUGAGGCACGAAGGUCAGGGGAGCAAACAGG